AAUAACGGUGGGCUGGAUGAGGCUGACUUCGGUCAGGCCGUUUCCGUACGGGCGGUUGUCCUAACCUUGUUCAGUUCACCACCCAU
rnacentral:antisense_RNA from 1 species